rnacentral:lncRNA from 1 species
CUCCAGGGAAAAUAUAUUACUAAAUUUUAUCCAAAUCUAUCUGGAUGUGUACAUCUUCAUAGGAAUACAUUGGACUCCAUGGGUGCUACAGAAAUGAAAUGUGCUUUGCUGUGUCUGUGCUGAGAGUUCAAGAUGUAUUUUUUGAUAUCAUUAUCAGUCUAGAGAGUGGUGAGCCCUGAUGCCCCCAACUUUGCUAUGAAGACCAAGGCACUGUGGAAUUGUGUGUCUACGUUUGGAAAGUCAG